rnacentral:lncRNA from 1 species
UCUCGCGACAACUAUGACGUACUCUGGAGUUCUUCCCUGGCAUAUUGCACACGAACAAACAACAUAUAUAAGAAAACAAAGGAAUGGAUUGCUCCCUUUGCAAAAGGGAGAAUAAAAAGAACCAGAUGUAUACUGGAAGAAUAAUUUUAUUGAAAAUAAUUUCUUCUUGUUACAAUUGUUCAACUCCACACGUAUAUAUACAGAAGGAUCUAGAAUAUUUACACAAAUUGAACUGAUUGGCUGAAAAAAAUGCUAUACAACAGAAUCUAACAGAAAAGGGAAAAAAAAUGUUGUGUGACAGAAUGGUCUUCAAUGAGGUUUCUACCCUGCAUCAUCAUGUUUCGUCUGAUGGCUAUCUUCUUGUUGAUCAUCAGCUCGUUGCUGCUUACUAUACAUUAUCUAUCUCCGACAUUUCAACAACAUAUUACGCUGCAGUACACAACAACCACAAACCACUGCAAAAUCUUCAAACGAUUGUAUUUUUCGAAAACAGUAAAAUCGAGGAAAAUGGAUACACAUCAUGCUUACCAAGAAAUUCCGCCGGAGGCGAUAGAUGGUGUUUAAAAGGACAAAUUUCCACCGGCUUCUUACUUCGGUUGAGAUGGAGGAGCGCUGGAUUUCAACCAAAGUUUUCGCCUCUAGGGUUUUCUUGGUUUGGGGAAAAGUGAAAAUGAAAGUUUGCAGUGAGAUUCCGUUGGAGGCGAUGAAAUUCCGGUCGAGGUGGAGGAGUGUUGGACUUCGAACUACGUUUCGCCUCCAAGGGUUUCUCCGGUUUGGGGGGAAAUGAAGAAUUUUUUCUUUAUAAUUGG